rnacentral:rRNA from 1 species
AGCAUGUGGUUUAAUUCGAAGCAACGCGAAGAACCUUACCAGGUCUUGACAUCCUUUGACCACUCUAGAGAUAGAGCUUUCCCUUCGGGGACAAAGUGACAGGUGGUGCAUGGUUGUCGUCAGCUCGUGUCGUGAGAUGUUGGGUUAAGUCCCGCAACGAGCGCAACCCUUAUUACUAGUUGCCAGCAUUUAGUUGGGCACUCUAGUGAGACUGCCGGUGACAAACCGGAGGAAGGUGGGGAUGACGUCAAAUCAUCAUGCCCCUUAUGACCUGGGCUACACACGUGCUACAAUGGAUGGUACAACGAGUCGCAAGGUCGCGAGGCCAAGCUAAUCUCUUAAAGCCAUUCUCAGUUCGGAUUGUAGGCUGCAACUCGCCUACANGAAGCCGGAANCG